rnacentral:rRNA from 1 species
GACGAAACCGUGCGAACGUUAUUCGGAAUCACUGGGCUUAAAGGGCGCGUAGGCGGGUCGGUAAGUCAGGGGUGAAAUCCCACGGCCCAACCGUGGAAGUGCCUCUGAUACUGCCGGCCUCGAGGGGGAUAGGGCGUGCGGAACUCAGGGUGGAGCGGUGAAAUGCGUAGAUAUCCUGAGGAACACCGGUGGCGAAAGCGGCGCGCUGGAUCCCUUCUGACGCUGAGGCGCGAAAGCCAGGGGAGCAAACGGG